AAUUCGAAGCAACGCGAAGUACCUUACCAGGUCUGACAUCCCGAUGCUAUUUCUAGAGAUAGAAGUUACUUCGGUACAUCGGUGACAGGUGGUGCAUGGUUGUCGUCAGCUCGUGUCGUGAGAUGUUGGGUUAAGUCCCGCAACGAGCGCAACCCCUAUUGUUAGUUGCCAUCAUUCAGUUGGGCACUCUAGCGAGACUGCCGGUAAUAAACCGGAGGAAGUGGGGAUGACGUCAAAUCAUCAUGCCCCUUAUGACCUGGGCUACACACGUGCUACAAUGGUUGGUACAACGAGUUGCGAGUCGGUGACGGCGAGCUAAUCUCUUAAAGCCAAUCUCAGUUCGGAUUGUAGUCUGCAACUCGACUCCAUGAAGUUGGAAUCGCUAGUAAUCGCGGAUCAGCACGCCGCGGUGAAUACGUUCCCGGGCCUU
rnacentral:rRNA from 1 species